rnacentral:rRNA from 1 species
AUACAGAGGGUGCGAGCGUUAAUCGGAAUUACUGGGCGUAAAGCGCGCGUAGGCGGCUUAUUAAGUCAGAUGAGAAAUCCCCGGGCUCAACCUGGGAACUGCAUCUGAUACUGGUAAGCUAGAGUUUUGGAGAGUGAAGUAGAAUUUCAGGUGUAGCGGUGAAAUGCAUAGAGAUCUGAAGGAAUACCAGUGGCGAAGGCGACUUCCUGGCCAAAAACUGACGCUGAGGUGCGAAAGCGUGGGUAGCACACGGGAUUAGAUACCCUUGUAGUCC